AAAGUCAUUUUCUAAGGCUGACAGAUCUUUGCUUUCCUGCUGGUUGUAAAGAAUUACAGUCCCUUAAAAAUCCUUUUCUCAGCUGGGGCUGUAGACAUUUCCAGACACUUUCCCUCUCCUGGAUAGCUAACACAGACAGUUAAGCUUUCUUCCCGCCAGACAACCAAUGCUUUGGGCAGUGGUUUUGUUUUCUAAACCCCGUACAUGUCACUUACUGUAUGUGGCUACUUCAGAUUCUGCAUUUCUUUUUGGUAGUUGCCACGCUAGUAUCAUAAACCCGUCUGUACACCAGGCAGGGGGGUUGGAACUAGAUGAUCUUAAGGUCCUUUCGAACCCAAACCAUUCUAUGAUAAUGAGACUCUUGGCAGAUGUUACAUGCCGUCCGGUGAGGAAGGUGAGUACACCACACAUCGGUAGUUUCCACCCUGUAGACUUUCGUUGGACAGAAUCUUGAUGGUCCAGGGAGAGUGACUGAGAAAACUGAGCUGGCAAACCCAAUGCAGUUUCCAGAUUGGUCUGCGCAUGAAGGGCCCAUAAACCAGGAAAGGUUCACCGCAACUGUUACCAGGACCAAGGACAUCCAUCUGUGUCUCCUCUUAAUGUCUGGUGACCCUUACUGGUUAGAAUAGACUCAUUCCGGUGAAGACGCAGACUGUGCAAACCGUGUGGUGACAGAGACGGUUCUUUUCAGUUACACUGUGAAGGCGCGCGGUGGACGGGGCAGGUGAAAGGUGUUUGACCGGUAACACUUAAAUACAGUCCCAAGACAGAACAUCUGAGGUAACCACACCGACACUUUCUGCUUUUGAAGAGCAUCCAGGAGUCCUCAAACGACUUCGUUAAAACCACUUUUCCCGAUGGAUGCAGUUGGCCUGUAAAUUUACAUUUUAGCAAUUCAGCCGAACUACUGAAACACUAAAUGUGAGAUGGGAAGUUGAUGUUCUGAAAUGUUAACACUCAAAUGGGGGGAAAAACAUCCCUAUUUGUCUAAAGGAGUGAAAAAUGUUUGCUAGGAAAAUUACA
rnacentral:lncRNA from 1 species